rnacentral:rRNA from 1 species
AUACGGAAGGUCCGGGCGUUAUCCGGAUUUAUUGGGUUUAAAGGGAGCGCAGGCGGAGAUGCAAGCGUGACGUCAAAUUUCGGGGCUCAACCCCGUCUCGCGUCGCGAACUGCGUCCCUUGGUUGCGGGAAGGGGAGGCGGAACUCGUGGUGUAGCGGUGAAAUGCAUAGAUAUCACGAAGAACUCCGAUCGCGAAGGCAGCCUUCCGGCCCGUCAACGACGCUCAUGCUCGAAGGUGCGGGUAUCAAACAGGAUUAGAUACCCUGGUAGUCCGCACAGUAAACGAUGGACACCCGCGGUUUGGCCUAUAUGGCUGAGCCGCCAAGCGAAAGCGUUAAGUGUCCCACCUGGGGAGUACGCCGGCAACGGUGAAACUCAAAGGAAUUGACGGG